GAUGAACGCUGGCGGCGUGCUUAACACAUGCAAGUCGAACGGAAAGGCUCCUGCUUGCAGGGGUACUCGAGUGGCGAACGGGUGAGUAACACGUGGGUGAUCUGCCCUGCACUUCGGGAUAAGCCUGGGAAACUGGGUCUAAUACCGGAUAGGACGAUGGUUUGGAUGCCAUUGUGGAAAGUUUUUUCGGUGUGGGAUGAGCUCGCGGCCUAUCAGCUUGUUGGUGGGGUAAUGGCCUACCAAGGCGUCGACGGGUAGCCGGCCUGAGAGGGUGUACGGCCACAUUGGGACUGAGAUACGGCCCAGACUCCUACGGGAGGCAGCAGUGGGGAAUAUUGCACAAUGGGCGCAAGCCUGAUGCAGCGACGCCGCGUGGGGGAUGACGGCCUUCGGGUUGCAAACUCCUUUCGCUAGGGACGAAGCGCAAGUGACGGUACCUGGAGAAGAAGCACCGGCUAACUACGUG
rnacentral:rRNA from 1 species